AGCCCUGCGGUGUGAAUUUCGUUCAAAGCGAAAUGGAUUUUGCUGCAGUGGCAAGUGAAACAGUCAAAUUUACAGAAAUGUAUAUCAUGGAAGCGAAAAAGGCUUGAGAUAAUUAACAAAAUAGAAGCUAAAAGGGCGAGCAGCGCCACCAGAGAACUAAACGUAAACACACUACGUUGGUCGGUAUAGGGCUAGGAUGAUGUUGGGGACGAAGUGAUUCCAUCGCCAACAGUGUCGGCUUUUUAACGAAAACUGAAAACUUGAGUAGUUCGUGUCACUUCUCUGAAUAGAAGUGUAGUGGAUAUCCUGGGAAAAGCUUAAAGAUAUCGCUUUGGUGUCAAUCCGUCAGGAACACAAUUUCUGCAGCUCCUGAGGAGACGUUAUGUUCGAUUAACAUGUGCUCCAGGUUGGUUCAACUCUCCUAACAAAUGUCUGUAUGAUAUUAUCACUACCACUGCUGGCAGCACAUAAUUAUGUGACAUUGUACUGGGUACACUUCAUGGUUGGAUCAUGGCUGUAAUUUAUGGUACAGGUGUCUAAAGGGUUUUUUUCUUAAUGAAUGAUAUGAUACUGAUGUUAUUAACAGUACAUGCUGAUAUUGUCCAACAGGUAGCUACUACAUGUAAGUUCAAUGAGUGAUUUUGACUAAAAAUAAUAAAAUGCAGUAUACCCUCAUAUAUCUCUGUUCACUUCCUAUUUAGCACUAGUCUCAAAUCAUCAACUUGCAUACCUCAAAAGCUACUGGUGCAUGUAUGCAUACCUUUACCUUUCCAAACACAAUAAGGAUUUGAAUUAAGAAACAUAAUUCCAGUCUCUUUAUGUAUCUGGUGUUAUUUGACAAUCCUUUAAAAAUCAUUGUGACCCUUUACUUCUAGGAACUGAAGCAUCCUCAUGAACAUCAUCGUGUAUACAACAAGAGUUUAACUGAUGUGUGGCUGAAACUGUUAUAUCAUUGCAUUAUUUUCUUAGUAUUUUUUGUUGUAUGGAAAAUGAAUGAUUAAUAAAGAGUUAAUAAAUGACA